rnacentral:tRNA from 1 species
UAAAUUAUAAGCUAAAAUUAAGCUAAUGAGUUCAUACCUCAUUUAUAUUUCAUUUUA